AACGAACGCUGGCGGCAUGCCUAACACAUGCAAGUCGAACGAGACCUUCGGGUCUAGUGGUGCACGGGUGCGUAACGCGUGGGAAUCUGCCCUUGGGUUCGGGAUAACAGUUGGAAACGACUGCUAAUACCGGAUGAUGACUUCGGUCCAAAGAUUUAUCGCCCAGGGAUGAGCCCGCGUCGGAUUAGCUAGUUGGUGAGGUAAGAGCUCACCAAGGCGACGAUCCGUAGCUGGUCUGAGAGGAUGAUCAGCCACACUGGGACUGAGACACGGCCCAGACUCCUACGGGAGGCAGCAGUGGGGAAUAUUGGACAAUGGGCGAAAGCCUGAUCCAGCAAUGCCGCGUGAGUGAUGAAGGCCUUAGGGUUGUAAAGCUCUUUUACCCGGGAUGAUAAUGACAGUACCGGGAGAAUAAGCCCCGGCUAACUCCGUG
rnacentral:rRNA from 1 species